rnacentral:rRNA from 1 species
GUGCCAAGUGGGCCAAUUUUGGUAAGCAGAACUGGCGCUGUGGGAUGAACCAAACGCGGAGUUAAAGCGCCUAAAUCGACGCUCAUGGGAAACCAUGAAAGGCGUUGGUUGCUUAAGACAGCAGGACGGUGGCCAUGGAAGUCGGAAUCCGCUAAGGAGUGUGUAACAACUCACCUGCCGAAGCAACUAGCCCUGAAAAUGGAUGGCGCUGAAGCGUCGUGCUUAUACUCCGCCGUCAGGGCAAGAGAGGCGGCCCUCGAGCCGCCAUGAAGCCUUGACGAGUAGGACGGUCGCGUCGGUGUGCGCAGAAGGGUCUGGGCGUGAGCCUGCCUGGAGCCGCCGACGGUGCAGAUCUUGGUGGUAGUAGCAAAUACUCCAGAGAGGCCCUGGAGGACUGAUGUGGUAGAAGGGUUUCGUGUGAACAGCCGUUGCACACGAGUCAGUCGAUCCUAAGCCCUAGGAGAAAUCCGAAGUCGAUGUGCGAGUCUAAUCAUGUUUUAAGAGCAAUAUGUGAAGACCGCCGUCGGGCGAAAGGGAAUCCGGUUCCUAUUCCGGAACCCAGCAUCGGAACCGUUUCCAAUCGGGCCCUUACAGCUCGUCAGGGUAACCUAACAUGCCCCGGAGACGCCGUCGGGAGCUGCCGGGAGAGUUAUCUUUUCUGUAUAAGUGCGCAUACUCCCUGGAAGCCUCUAGCAGGGAGAUAGGGAGCAGCGCGCGAAGAGCACCGCACUUGCGGCGGUGUCGGCAGCGUCCUCUCGGACCUUGAAAAUCCGGGUGAGGGCCACGUGGACGUCCGAUCUGGUUCGUACCCAUAUCCGCAGCAGGUCUCCAAGGUGAAGAGCCUCUAG